UCCCUUAGAGCGCGAGAGCGCGCGCGCAGCUCCCCUCGCCUUUCGGCCGCGUGACCGUCGCCUGGUGAUACGAGCCGAACCAUCCUGCCUGCCGCGCACCCCCCCCCCUCCUCCUGCUCCUCCUCCUCCUCCUCAGCGGCUGAGCGCGCGCGCGAUUUUGCGGGCGGGCGGGCGAGCACCAUAGAGCGCGAGCUGCGGGGCAUCCGUCGAGCGGCUAGAGCGCCGACGCAGCGCGAGGCGGGCGGGCGGAGCCGCGGGGCGGGGCGAGCCAGUCAGAGUCCGCCAGGAAGCCGAGAGCGAUCCGCGCGGUGUGGCUGCUGCUGCUGCUGCUCCUCCUUCCAUCUCCUCCUCCUCCUUCUUCCCCGGACAAAGCCGCCGCGGUUGCCGCCACCCCCGCCCCUCACCUCGCCGCGCAGCUCGCCUCGGAACUCCGUCGCUGAACGCAGAGCCAUGUCGGCCAGCAGCCUCUUGGAGCAGAGACCGAAGGGACAAGGCACCAAAGUGCAAAAUGGAUCAGUGCAUCAGAAAGACAGCUUAAAUGAUGAUGAUAUUGAACCUUACUUGAGUCCUCAGGCCAGACCGG